UGUGGAUAUAGCUCAGUUGGUAGAGUACUUGUCUCACAUGCACAAGGCCCUGGGUUCAAUCCUCAGCCCCAA
rnacentral:tRNA from 1 species